rnacentral:rRNA from 1 species
UUGAACGCUGGCGGAAUGCUUUACACAUGCAAGUCGAGCGGCAGCGCGGGGCAACCUGGCGGCGAGCGGCGAACGGGUGAGUAAUGCAUCGGAACAUGUCCAUGUCGUGGGGGAUAGCCCGGCGAAAGCCGGAUUAAUACCGCAUACGCCCGAGAGGGGAAAGUGGGGGACCGCAAGGCCUCACGCGAUUGGGUUGGCCGAUGUCCGAUUAGCUUGUUGGUGAGGUAAAGGCUUACCAAGGCGAUGAUCGGUAGCUGGUCUGAGAGGAUGAUCAGCCACACUGGGACUGAGACACGGCCCAGACUCCUACGGGAGGCAGCAGUGGGGAAUUUUGGACAAUGGGCGCAAGCCUGAUCCAGCCAUGCCGCGUGAGUGAAGAAGGCCUUCGGGUUGUAAAGCUCUUUCGGCGGGGAAGAAAUCGCACGGGUUAAUACCUCGUGUGGAUGACGGUACCCGAAUAAGAAGCACCGGCUAACUACGU